rnacentral:rRNA from 1 species
UACGGGGGGUGCGAUCGUUGUCCGGAAUCACUGGGCGUAAAGGGCGCGUAGGUGGUUUGAUACGUGUGUGGUGAAAGCCCGGGGCUCAACCCCGGGUCUGCCGUGCCGACUGUCAAACUCGAGGGCUGUAGAGGCAGACGGAAUUCCGGGUGUAGCGGUGGAAUGCGUAGAGAUCCGGAGGAAGACCGGUGGCGAAGGCGGUCUGCUGGGCAGUUUCUGACACUGAGGCGCGACAGCGUGGGGAGCAAACAGG